AUUGAACGCUGGCGGCAUGCCUUACACAUGCAAGUCGAACGGUAACGGGCCUUCGGGUUCCGACGAGUGGCGAACGGGUGAGUAAUACAUCGGAACGUGCCCGAUCGUGGGGGAUAACGAGGCGAAAGCUUUGCUAAUACCGCAUACGAUCUACUGAUGAAAGCAGGGGACCGCAAGGCCUUGCGCGGACGGAGCGGCCGAUGUCAGAUUAGGUAGUUGGUGGGAUAAAAGCUUACCAAGCCGACGAUCUGUAGCUGGUCUGAGAGGAUGAUCAGCGACACUGGGACUGAGACACGGCCCAGACUCCUACGGGAGGCAGCAGUGGGGAAUUUUGGACAAUGGGCGCAAGCCUGAUCCAGCCAUGCCGCGUGCAGGAUGAAGGCCUUCGGGUUGUAAACUGCUUUUGUACGGAACGAAAAGCAUUCUUUUAAUACAGGAGGGUCAUGACGGUACCGUAAGAAUAAGCACCGGCUAACUACGUG
rnacentral:rRNA from 1 species